rnacentral:rRNA from 1 species
UACGUAGGGGGCUAGCGUUGUCCGGAAUCAUUGGGCGUAAAGCGCGUGUAGGCGGCCCGGUAAGUCCGCUGUGAAAGUCGGGGGCUCAACCCUCGGAUGCCGGUGGAUACUGUCGGGCUCGAGUACGGAAGAGGCGAGUGGAAUUCCUGGUGUAGCGGUGAAAUGCGUAGAGAUCCGGAAGAACACCGGUGGCGAAGGCGGUCUGCUGGGGUGAGGCUGACGCUGAUGCGCGACAGCGUGGGGAGCAAACAGG